UCCUCACUCUUGCAUCCAGGUGGACAGAAACAUAGCUGGGCACAGGCAGAGAGCAAAAGAACCUCUAGAGGGUCUUACUCAAGCAAUGAAAUAGUCCACUGGAAGUGCUAAAUGUCACUUCAGUUCACUAGGUAGAACCACAAGGGGCUGGGAAGUUCUAUCCAUAGGGUUAAGGAGCCUAGAAUACUUGGUGAAUGGUAGUGAAGAAUGCCAUACACCCUUUCCCCAAAUAUCUGGUAUAGAAACAUAACUCAAGGUAGUAUAUAGUAAGUGACAGAUAAAUGGCACAGUCUGAAAAUGCUGUAGAAAUUAGAGGUAGCAAGGAUCCCAGGCAGAGAGGAACUGUUUGACCCCCGAUGACCCUGUGCCACUGCACACAGAAAGAAAACUUAGGGUGAUGUGGAGAAGCCUGCCUAGUAUCAUAACCAGCAGCCACCUAAACCCGUUUCCCUUUCUCCAGCACAACUACUCUGACAAGAACUGCAGGUCCUUCUAGCAACUUCAGAACAAAGUCAGCCCUAAGGGUGCAUUUGGACACAACAGAACUAAGACUAGUUGUUUUACUCUGCAGGAUUUGAGAGAUUGCCUGGUCUGUAUUCUUUAAUAUGAUUAAAUUCCUUUAUUAAAUGAGGAAACUGAGACCUAUAGAAGUUAAUUGCCUUGCCACAAAAGGAAAAAAAAAUAAAUGAAAGCACAAAUUAGAGGUCUAAAACCAAUUCUUACACUUCUUCGUUUAAGUCUACUGUCUUUCUGCACUAUCCUGCUGGAACCAAUGCAGUGCCAUUUAAUGAUAAUAACUCCAGUUUAAGUCCUUGGAAACAAAAUUUCUAUAAAUCCAAGACCCAGGUUUAUUUUGAUUUAUUGGUUCCAAAGUUAGCUGGCCUUGGCACAGUACAAUAUUAUUGGCUUCGAAUAAUUCUCAGGGACUCUGAUAGAGUUCUUCCAUAAGUUGUUUUGGUGACACAUGUCUUUAAAACAAAAGAACUUUAUUGUUGUUCAACUUCUCUCUUUUUGCAUCUUCUCUCCUUACACCAAUUAGAUGUAUUUUCAGCAUAUGGUUUUAUGAUACCUGUACCAAGGAUAACAGCUGUUUCUACGGGUUCCCUGUGGACAUUUUAUUAGCCCAACGACUGAUCUGACUGUGCAGAGUAGGUUAUAUAUCUCUAAAACAUUCUGGAUAUUUGGUUAAUCUGUUUCUACUUCCAAUUUACCUUUCAGGAUCAAAGAGUUGGGGCUCCACAGCAAGGAAUAUUGCCUUUCAUUAGGGAUGACAAUCACUUAGGUAUAACAAAUGUACAGAUAGAACUGGUUAAACUCUCAGGCUCAGUUGCAACCAAUAAUGUGAGCAGGGAGGCAAAUCCUUCUCUCCCUUAAGGCCCAGAUCCUCCACGGCCCCGACCUUAUUUCCCUUGCUGAAGCUAUGUAUCUCCUCUCUUAACUCUCCUCCAGCUUCGUCCGCAUUUCCCCUAUUGCCCCUACCUCUGCCUGCAUUGCCGUCUACUUACUGGCACCUGUCUUGAUUAUGCCACGUCUCUGAAAGGUCUUUCAGUUUGGAGACACAGUAUGACUCAACUCAACACUUACUCUCCAGUAUUUUGAACAUAGUAGGUACAAUUUGGUGUUCGACAAAUACUUGUCACGAGAAUGGCACUUUGAAGUAAGAAGAGUGUCACAAACUUUGUUAGUCUCUCCCUUCUUUGCCCAGAUGAGCGCCUAGGCGAUGGUUGGCUUGCUGCACUCCACUGCAACCGGGAACUGUGGUGAUGGUCACCGGGCGGCUGGGCGGCGCCGCGGCUGCACCUUCCAGCCCGGGGACCCCGCGCCCGGCUCCACGAGCCGACAGCGCCCUCUGGCGGACGUGCGCGCGCCCAGCCGAGUUACUCCCGCGGCCCCGCUGCCUCCUUUUCCAUCGCCUCCUGCGGGCUCUGGCUGGGAGAGCUGGGAGCAUUAGGAUUACCUAACCAGCUGCGGGGGUAAGUCAAGAACCGACCACAUGGCAUGGGACCAUUGGCUUUAUCCAUAUGCCCGUGAACAGGGACAAAUGCAGUCAGGAGCACUUGCCAUUAUGGAAAAAAUAUGCUGUCUUAAAAACAAUGUUUUAAACAACCAGGCUUCUCAAAGUGAGGAAUUCUGUUUCUGUGACUGCAUUAAGCAAGAGGCCAUCCAUUUGCCAGUUAAAUCCACUCUGGUUUAGGAAAAACAGAGAUGGAGUCCAGAUUUUGGGGAAACUAGAACUCGAAGGUAAAGGAAUGUUAAGGGCCUUCAGGUGGGCCACAGGGACCCACCCUACCUUUUUCUUGAUUGAAGUCUGCAGGUCAGUUCCUGGGGCUGAGGUGAGAGUUGUGAGAAAUGGCCAAGGAACCCCAUUGGAGAAGCCACCUCCAGAAUGGAAAGAAGAAAGGACAAGUGGAAUUCCUCCAUCCCACCAGGUGUCACGGAAGCAGAUCCCUCCAGCUCAGGCCCCCACGUGUGUGCUGAAGCCAUGACCCACACCUACUUCUCAGGGACUUUGCUGCUGGUCACCCCCUGGCUCCCCUCCUUCAGCCUCUCCAUCUCUGUCAUUCGUUCCCAUCAAAUGCCAAGACAGUAAUGCAGAAGUUGUCCUGAUGACAUUGUCAGAGCUACAAGGACUUAUGUUAUGAAGAGACCCAGGUACAGGUGGAGACCAAGACAGGGUGAUGAAGCAGGAGAAAAAGAGGGAUGUGCUGAGCAUCACUGCUAAAGAAGGAAGAUUCUCUUCCAACCCAUCCGUUCCUGCCCAUUAAAAUGCCAAGUUGCCCUCCUCUUUAAUGCACAUGGUGGCAUGGUGGGAGACACUGCCUGUUGUUUCCUGGGGUCAUAGUUCAUUCUCAACCCACAAGUGAACAUUGUCAAGGUCAUCCCUCCAGGUGACCUUAGAGAUCUUGAUACUGCAUUGCAGAAUGGGGUGAAAGUGUGGGUGAAAGUGUGGGUGAUAAGUGAGUCACCAGGCAGACUUCAGAUGUAAUAUGGGUUUAUACUUUGAACUUUUGAGGGAGCUUUUAUAUCAAUCCCUCCUUUAUUAUUCCUUUCUCAACUACAAGUCCAGAGCAAGUAUCAUUAUUCCCAUUUUACAGAGGGGGUAACUGACCCUCAAAGAAGGUAAGGGACUCAAGUACAUGCGGGAUUAGAGCCUAGAGUAGAACCUGAUUCCCUGUAUGGGGCUUCCUCCCCAUGACCAACCUUACCCACCUUAUCUGUGAGUGAUCAAGGCACCAAGGGGUGGUAUCUUAUAAUUUCCCUGGAAACUGAGCCUCCAAGGAGGCCUCAUUGCCCUGCAAGGCAAAGGCUGCUGCUCCAGCUUGGGGGCUGCAUGGAGACCCUGGCUCAGACUUGCAGGCCACCGCAGCCCCUCUCAGCUACUGAGCUGGCCUGGGAAGUGUGGGGCGUGAAAGGAGGAGCGCUUGCCGGGGUGCUCCCCAUCAGGGUUUGGUAGGCACGGUGCUGCAUGGAGGGCAACCAGAGGUAUUCAGAACCUUACCUUACACACAGGAAAUCAGAGAUAUUAGGGGGACUUUUCCUGGGGACACUGCCUUCACCCACUCUAGGUUAGGGUAGAUGUCUUCUCAAGUUCUUGUCUCACUGAAGGACUUGCUUUUAAAAGCCAGUCUUUUUCCACUUCUCUCUCCUCCUUUCUCCUGUCUUUUCUUUCUCUAAACCUGUUGCACCUCAGGUUAACUUCUGACAAAGGGAGCCUUUCUGCAUCAUUUUAUUCUUGCAAAUGUAAGUAUAAGCUAACCAGGAGAGCCAGGCCAGGCACAGCUGUUGCAGGCCUGUAUUCUUGGAGUGCAGGAACCAAGCAUGGAAGUUGUCUUGUGGGACCUGAGAUUUCCUAGGGAGCUUGCAGAAAAGGCAAAGCCCUGCCUGGGACAAGAUAUGGUAACCUAGGGCUGUGCACUUUGGGAGGGGCCCUGGUACCUUAGAAUGUAGUGAAGAAAGAGGAAAGGAUGCUCCCCUCUUCACUCCCUGAAAAUCAUAGCAGCUCUUUUCUCUCACCUGGGUCCUGCAUCCUGUUAUUUCCUCUGAAAGGACCCCCCUGCUCCACCCUGUGGGGCGCAGCUUACACAGCAUUUCUUCCAAUAGAUUCCCCUCCCACCUUGCCCCUGAUCAGCCCUGAGUACAUGUUUUUGUCAGUGGUGGUCUAUAUGGUGUUUCCCCCAAGGCAGUAUUACAGCAAAGCUAAUAUAGCUUGCACUUUAGGACACCUCCCUUGCUCCUUCCAAAGCUCUGUUGCUAAUUUUGUAUUUCUAAUUUGUAUUCUUUUUCCUAAAGAGGGCUUUUCAAGUUGUUUAAGCUUCAGGCCAUGUGAAACUGGGGUCUACCUGUGACCUUUCCCAAAACUCUGCAAACUCCCUGACUCGGACUGAGUGACAGAUUCCCUGGGCUAUUCCUAGAUCUAGAGCACAGGCUGGGCUCUCAAUAAACAUUUCUGAAGUGAAAGGAAGAAAAGCUCCUUGGCUAGUGUUUAGCAGAUCAGUGGUUCUCAGUAAGAAUGCUCAGCACUGUCACUUGAACAAUCUGGAAGGGCUGGCGUGAAAUGCCUGUCACUUCAGUAUAAUGCAGUGUGGGAUACAAUCCAUCUUGGAAGCUCAGGGAUUUCAUUCUAGGAUCUUGGGCAAAUUAACUGCCUAUCAGGAAGCCCUGGUUUAUUCAAACAUAUUAAGAGGUUUGUAACAACUGCCUUAUAGAAUAACAAUGGUUAUAUAUUACAGAUAAGUCAGUACCUGGCAUUGAGUAGUUCUCAGGAAAUUCCUUUAUAUACUCACUCCCUAAGGAAUAUUUCAUUUUUAAUCCUUUUUAUCUCUAGCACUAUAGCUUCCCAAGGCUACCCUUGUAGACUUUUCACCAGGUGGCUCCUGGAUAAUGGGGCUUUGGUGUAAAGGGUCCAGACAAAGGAAUUUGUCCUGGGUCCAGCACUCCACGAAAAAUGGCCCUGAGACCAGGUCUGGGGUACUCUCCUAUAUAUGGCUCCUUCCUUCAAUAAGAGAGAGGACUGUAGGAAAAAUCCAAGAAACUUGAAUAAAAAUAUAAA